rnacentral:tRNA from 2 species
AGACCCAUCUUCUAACGGUUAGGAUACUAGGUUUUCACCCUGGUGACGGGAGUUCAAUUCUCCCUGGGUCUA